rnacentral:tRNA from 1 species
GGAAGUUUAGCUCAGUUGGGAGAGCAUCUGCCCUACAAGCAGAGGGUCGUAGGUUCGAGCCCUACAACUUCCACCA